rnacentral:rRNA from 1 species
AUUGAACGCUGGCGGCAGGCCUAACACAUGCAAGUCGAGCGAGCGGCGGACUGGUGAGUAAUGUAUGGGCAUCUGCCUGAUGUAGUGGGAUGACUACUGGAAACGGUAGCUAAUACCGCAUACCAUCCGAUGAACCCAUAUGGGAUUAGCUUGUAGGUGAGGUAAAGGCUCACCUAGGCGACGAUCGCUAGCUGGUCUGAGAGGAUGAUCAGCCACACUGGGACUGAGACACGGCCCAGACUCCUACGGGAGGCAGCAGUGGGGAAUAUUCCGCAAUGGGCGAAAGUCUGACUCAGCCAUGCCGCGUGAAUGAAGAAGGUCUUCGGGUUGUAAAGUUCUUUUGGUAGAGAGGCGUUAACUACCGAAGAAGCAACGGCUAACUCCGUGCCAGCAGCCGCGGUAAUAC